AGUGAAUAGAUACCCCGGUAGUCCUAGCCGUAAACGAUACUCGCUAGGUGUCGGCCACGGUGCGACCGUUGUCGGUGCCGUAGGGAAAGCCGUGAAGCGAGCCACCUGGGAAGUACGGCCGCAAGGCUGAAACUUAAAGGAAUUGGCGGGGGAGCACCACAACGGGUGGAGCUUGCGGUUUAAUUGGAUUCAACGCCGGAAAUCUUACCGGGACCGACAGCAAUAUGAAGGCCAGGCUGAAGACUUUGCCGGAUUAGCUGAGAGGUGGUGCAUGGCCGUCGUCAGUUCGUACUGUGAAAGCAUCCUGUUAAGUCAGGCAACGAGCGAGACCCACGCCCACAGUUGCCAGCGUACUCUCUGGAGUGACGGGUACACUGUGGGGACCGCCGCUGCUAAAGCGGAGGAAGGAAUGGGCAACGGUAGGUCAGUAUGCCCCGAAUAUCCCGGGCUACACGCGAGCUACAAUGGUUGGUACAAUGGGUAUCUACCCCGAAAGGGGAUGGAAAUCUCCUAAAGCCAAUCUUAGUUCGGAUUGAGGGCUGCAACUCGCCCUC
rnacentral:rRNA from 1 species